GUUGACCUCGGAUCAGGCAGGGAUACCCGCUGAACUUAAGCAUAUCAAUAAGCGGAGGAAAAGAAACCAACAGGGAUUGCCCCAGUAACGGCGAGUGAAGCGGCAAGAGCUCAAAUUUGAAAUCUGGCCCCCUCGGGGCCCGAGUUGUAAUUUGCAGAGGAUGCUUCGGGUUCGGCCCCGGUCUAAGUCCCCUGGAACGGGGCGUCACGGAGGGUGAG
rnacentral:rRNA from 1 species